ensembl:lncRNA uncharacterized LOC114800859
GGGGUAUUAAAACCUUCUCUUAAACAGAUGCCAGUUGGGCUUGAACAGUUUCAGGCCACUGGUUCAACUAGUGUGCAGACCCCCUGGAUCCACAUGCUCUUUAUAUGGGUAGGUUGUACUUUUGUUUUUUAAUUUAGACAACCAAAACUAAAAUUAAAAAUUAGUUUGUUACAGUAUAAAUGAAGGCAAGAUAAUGGCUGUAGCUUUUCAAAAAUUACUCUGUGAUAUAUGCCAUAGUUUGUAGACUGUUAGGUAAUUUUGGAAUUGGUGUAUUUCACAAACAGGAAUGAAUUUGGGCUUCUGAGCUUUGCCAGUUAAAAUUGAACAUUGUGAUGGCAUACUGGAGUGGGAGUCAGGAACAGCCACCCAUACACAACAAAUAUGGAACUGUUCCUGCAAGAUAUUUUUCACAUGCCUAUCAAGAGAAACAACACAGAACCAAUUACCAGGAAUAUAGUCGUGAACACCUUGCUUAUGAACCUAGCUGCUGGACAUUGCCAAGAUCCCAGACAGGCGGGGUCCUUCAGGACUACACAAACUGGGCUGAUACAGCAGCCCUGCCCAAUUUCCCUUUCACACUGGAGAGCCAAUCACAGUCACAGAUUUCGAGUGUGCGUGCAGCCCAAGAGAGAAAGGGGAGGGAGUGGCUUCCCCGAGACAUACCGAGGUCUCUGAGGGAAAGGCAGAAUGAAAGUGUGCAGGGAAGUGAAGGACAAGCAGUGAGGGAGUGGUGGGAUUCAUACAGUCCGGUGCACUACCGGAAGGAUGGUGCAAAAAGAAGCCUGAGCGAUAGCAGCUACCGCGAAUUAGAGGCUUGGGCCACCCGCUACAGCCAUUCACUCCCAAGAAAGAAGCGCAUUGAGUCUGCCAUGUGGGGAGGAGCACAGGGGCCACUUGCCACAGAGAAAAUUUCAGACUGGAUGGGGAGAAGUUAUGGGACAGAAGCUUAUCAAAGACCUGCAAAUAUAACAAGACUACCUCCUCAGAAAAAUAAUUUGGGACACUGUGAUGGAUAUGAUGUAUAUCUGCCGCCUCCAUAUAUCCCUCCUCCAGGUAUUCCAAAUCAAGAAGCAAUGAGCUCCAACAUCAAAGAAAAUGCCUACACUGUCCAAAGAAGACCAUUCAGUCUGCCUCCUUGUUAUAUCACACCACCACCAUACAGCAACCAAUCAGCAAGAGUGCACUUAGCUGAGAAACAUGUGAAGGAGGAAGUGAUGUCAGUGGCUAAUACUAGUGACAUGCUGCCAGCGAUGAGGAGACCAAAUUAUGACAUGAUCACAGGCUUGGAAGGGGCAGAUGAAUUGCAAAGAAGAGACACCCAUGUAGCCUGUACAAAUAGUCCUCAAAAUGAACAAAUUGAGCACAGGCCGUGGAAAGGUACCAGUGGAACUCUUCAGCCACAGAUUCAUGGUACUGUCCAUGCUAUUCCAACAUCUUCAGAUGUACCUACAAAUACCAACACCAAGAUUAAGAAAAGGAGAGGGGGAGAGACGGUUUUUUGUUUGGUAUCACGAAUGGGUACCCUAGCCGGCUUGUCAAGUUCACCAGAAGAUCCACUAAAACCACAAUCUUUGCCCCUUUUUGUCUCACCUCUGGCAGGUGUAUGUGAAGGAACCAGGCAGCAUGACAGUCUUGAGACUGAGAAGAGCCAAAAGUCUCCACAUCCUGCAGAUGAGGUUGACUCAGAAGUGCUAAUUACAGAACCCAAUUGUGUGUUAGCCUGUAACAACACCCAAAUACCUUUACAUUUAAAACACAAACCUAAGGGUUCCUCAAACUGGAUGGAUGUUGAACAAGCAGCUGCCCACAGGGAAGAACUUCUGAGAGCCAUCCAGAAGUGUGGAGCAAAACAUCAAGCAAGUGGAAAGUAUGAUAUCAGCCUUACUAUGAAAAACAAUGAAUACAAUGAUCAAGCUUUACCAGACUCCACUAAGACAUAUGCGUUAUCUCCUAAAACUAGUAAGAAAGCUACAGAGCUGGUCAAUGAGAACUCAGUCAAGUUCCCUCUGUGGAGAGAGCCUAAGUGGCACUGUCAAUCACAAAAGAGUGCUGAGCAAACAUCUGAAGCAAAUUCAGACAUCAGUGUUUUAGCUCAAGACUUUCACAAUUGUCCAAACAAUGUGAGGCAAUCAGAUAUCAGAGAAGGUCUACAAAAUGAUAGCAAUGGAUUUUUGGUCAUUGACACAACUUGCGUUGUUGUGAAAGUAGAGUUCAUCUGUCCUCCCAAAAAGGAGCAUGUUCAGUAUGUGAGUUGUCCAUAUUAUGGUUCCACUGACCCAGAUCCAGUGGGCACCAGUGAGACUGUAAUAGAAAGUAAUCAGGAAUUGAUGAGUAAUGUUUCAUCAAAGGAUGACACAAGUGUUCCACAAACAAUGAACAAUUAUGAGCUUGGAAAAGAUCAAGAAGCCACAGAAAACACUGUUGAAAAUAUGCUUGAUGCUGUAGGUGAUGAAUCAUGUAACAGUAUUCCAUAUGACAGCAAUGAGGAAACAUCAUCAUCAUUGGCUCCUGUUAAAGAAACAUUAGAAGAGAGGGCAGUGAGGAUUCUUGGACUACCGCUACAGAAUGGUAACAGUCAAACAGAUGUUUCACAAGAGAAUCCUUGUAUCCAGGAACAACUAGAAGACGAUGAGAUAUCAAACCAGAAACAAACAGAAAUCAUUGAGAGUACUGCAGAAAUCAUUGCAACACCUUCAGAAGAAUCCCCUUCUUCUCAGCAAUCUGAUGAUGAAUCUGUAAUUCUAGAGGAGACUAAAGACUUGUUUGCAGAUCAAAUCUCUGUAGAGACAGAUAGAAAUGUUAAGAUUCACUGUGAAGAAGCUUGGAGUGGAAACGCACAGGGUAACCAGUUUUACGGAACCGAUGUACUGGAUGGAUCCACAGUUGACUGCAUGCCAGUCUGUCAAGAGUCUGUCAGUGAUUUAAAUAUGCAGUCUUUGUUGCCGCUGGCUCUAGUCUCACUUCACAACUCUGAUUCAAUCCCAUCGUUCUCUGACACCUCUAGACGUUCUUCUUCACCUCAGUGCCUGCUGGACUCUCUUGACUGUCUACUUAACUCUAAUGCAGAGUCUGAGUCUCCUCCUGAGUCAGUUGCUCCCUGUUCCUCUCAUAUAACUUGUCCCUCAGAAAUCCUUUCACUUCCAGUAGAAAUUCCAGAUGAAACAUUUCAGCAGAUUUUAUCUCCAACUCUUUCAGACAUUUCUUCUGUGUCGCGCCCACCUUCUUCUCCCAACUUGUUCCCAGCAACAUCUGUCAGUCAACCUCACUGUCCUUCAUCCAACACUUCUUCACCACUUUCCAUCUCUCCUCCACAACAUUUGCCCCCACUGUCCCUCUCAUCCACAGAUCCACUUCUCCCUCCUUCACCUUUACAGUCUAUAAUCACCCCUUCACCCCCUUCAAGCCCUCUGCCAGUUUGCCUAACUGAGCUGCAAAUCUGUGAUACAACUUUGCUUCCUGCUCCUCUGCCGACUUUACUGACUCCUCAAGUCGAGGGGCCUCAAUAUCCAAAGUCUCUCUGGGAUGCAGUGAACCGUAUUCGUAAGCAUACUGCACCAGAUUCUGAAAAUGAAGAGGAGGAAACUGUAGAACUGUGGGAACAAUUUGGUGAUGUAGAGGAAUCUACACGUGUGUGUGGCUGUGAAAGCAGCAUGGACUUAAACACUUUGCGUUUGUUGGAGGUUGCAUCAAGUGUCGGGUAUUCUCUGGAAGCCAGUUGUACUGAGAACACAAAUCACAUUGUAAAUGGUCUUUGCUUUGAGGAACAUGCUAAAACAAACAUGCAGUCCAUGAAUGUGAUUGCUUCAGAAGAUGAACAAAAUGAGGAAGAUGGCAGGGGACAGGAAGAGGAUGACACGUUAUCCUGUAGCAGUUCAGACAGCCAUGCAUCUAGAGACACUGUCAUCAUGGGUGAGGGAGAAGAGAGUGCUUCAGAAACAGAAGGUGAAGAAGUAAGUGGAGAUGAAGCUGAUUUAGAUACUCCCUUAGACAAAGAAGAUAUGUCUGAAGUGACUGAGAACUUAAUGGAAGUGCAAGAAAGACUUGGUGGAGUGUUUGUGACUGAAAAUGAUCUAGAAACAUGCAACACCUCUGACAUAGAAACAUGCAACACAUUGGAACUGCAAGAUAACAAUAAAAGUAGUGAGAGUGACAGUGAAAUGUUAGCAGAUCAGAAUAAAGAGAAAAUCUGUUGUUCCGUACAGGAAACUGAGGAACGGCCCUCUGCGGGGUCAGAAAAGAGACAGUGCAUUGAAGUCACUGGAAACACAUGUGAAGGCUAAGUGAAAAACUAAAGGAUUAACAUCAGUAAAUUAGUGUUUUAAGUUUUAAACAUACAUACCUACUACUUCCCAGUAAUACGCUUUCUUUAUUCUGUAUAAGAAGUAAACUAAGUAUAAUUUUGUGUUAAAUUAGUGUUAUGUUGAUUGAGCAAGUAGAAUGGUAAUAACACACAAUACAUUAUUAAAAUAUGCAUCCUGUUGUGAUUAUAAUUACAUUAUAAUACAGGUUAUUUAUUAUAUGUGAAUAAAGGACUUAUUUGUCAC